AAAUGCAUGGUAGGAGAGCGUCGUAUAAGGGGUGAAGUCAGAGCGUAAGCGUUGGUGGACUUUAUACGAGUGAGAAUGCCGGAAUGAGUAGCGAGAAAUAUGUGAGAAUCAUAUUGGCCGAAAGUCUAAGGUUUUUGGAGGAAGGUUCGUCCGCUCCAAGUAAGCCGGGAGCUAAGGUGAGGCCGAAAGGCGCAGCCGAUGCACAUACGGUAGAUAUUCCGUAGCCGCCAAAAGAUUUAAGUAAGAGGACACCUUGAAAGGACUUGACCGGGCGAUGGUUGCCCCGGGCGAAAGGGACCGAAAUUUAGUAGGGAAGCAAGUUUGGACGAGGGCGAGAAAAGUCUUAUGUAUAUCUUCGGCGCCCGUACCGCAAACCGACACAGGUAGAUAGGAAGAGAAUUCUAAGGCCAACGGGAGAAGGGUAGUUAAGGAACUCGGCAAAUUGACCCCGUAACUUAGGAAUAAGGGGUGCCACAGCGAUGUGGUCGCAGAGAAUAGGCCCAGGCAACUGUUUAUCAAAAACACAGGUCUCUGCCAAAUCGAAAGAUGAAGUAUAGGGGCUGACACCUGCCCGGUGCUGGAAGGUUAAGAGGAGAUGUGCAAGCAUUGAAUUGAAGCCCCAGUAAACGGCGGCCGUAACUAUAACGGUCCUAAGGUAGCGAAAUUCCUUGUCGGGUAAGUUCCGACCCGCACGAAUGGUGUAAUGAUCUGGGCACUGUCUCAAUUACCCGCCCGGCGAAAUUGUAGUACCGGUGAAGAUGCCGGUUACCCGCGACAAGACGGAAAGACCCCAUGGAGCUUUACUGUAGCUUAAUAUUGGGUUUCGAUAAUUUAUGUAUAGGAUAGGCGGGAGACUAGGAAACCGUGGCGCCAGCCACGGCGGAGUCGACGUUGGAAUACCGCUCUUAAGUUAUUGGAAUUCUAACCUGCGGCCAUGAAUCUGGCCGGGGGACAUUGUUAGGUGGGCAGUUUGACUGGGGCGGUCGCCUCCAAAAAGGUAACGGAGGCGCUCAAAGGUUGGCUCAGCAUGGUUGGAAACCAUGCCUUAGAGUGUAAACGCGUAAGCCAGCCUAACUGCGAGGAUGACGGUCCGAGCAGUAACGAAAGUUGGAGUUAGUGAUCCGGCGGUAUGAGAGUGGAAUUGCCGUCGCUCAACGGAUAAAAGCUACCCUGGGGAUAACAGGCUGAUCUCCCCCAAGAGUCCACAUCGACGGGGAGGUUUGGCACCUCGAUGUCGGCUCAUCCCAUCCUGGGGCUGUAUUCGGUCCCAAGGGUUCGGCUGUUCGCCGAUUAAAGUGGUACGCGAGCUGGGUUCAGAACGUCGUGAGACAGUUCGGUCCCUAUCUGUCGUGGGCGCAGGAUAUUUGAGGAGAGCUGUCCUUAGUACGAGAGGACCGGGAUGGACGCACCUCUGGCGCACCAGUUGUCACGCCAGUGGCACAGCUGGGCAACUAUGUGCGGAACGGAUAAACGCUGAAAGCAUCUAAGCGUGAAGCCGACUCCAAGAUUAGAUAUCCCAUAGCGUAAGCUAGUAAGACCCCUUGUAGACUACAAGGUUGAUAGGCUGCAUGUGUAAGCACGGUAACGUGUUCAGCUUGGCAGUACUAAUAGGUCGAGGGCUUGACC
rnacentral:rRNA from 1 species